GCAGCAGCCGCGGUAAUACGUAGGGUGCGAGCGUUGUCCGGAAUUACUGGGCGUAAAGAGCUCGUAGGCGGUUUGUCGCGUCGUCUGUGAAAUUCUGCAGCUUAACUGUAGGCGUGCAGGCGAUACGGGCAGACUUGAGUACUACAGGGGAGACUGGAAUUCCUGGUGUAGCGGUGAAAUGCGCAGAUAUCAGGAGGAACACCGGUGGCGAAGGCGGGUCUCUGGGUAGUAACUGACGCUGAGGAGCGAAAGCGUGGGUAGCGAACAGGAUUAGAUACCCCAGUAGUCCCUGUCUCUUAUAC
rnacentral:rRNA from 1 species